UACGUAGGGUGCGAGCGUUGUCCGGAAUUAUUGGGCGUAAAGAGCUCGUAGGCGGUGUGUCACGUCGGCCGUGAAAAACCUGCAGCUUAACUGUGGGCGUGCGGUCGAUACGGGCAUCACUGGAGUUCGGCAGGGGAGACUGGAAUUCCUGGUGUAGCGGUGAAAUGCGCAGAUAUCAGGAGGAACACCGGUGGCGAAGGCGGGUCUCUGGGCCGAUACUGACGCUGAGGAGCGAAAGCGUGGGGAGCGAACAGG
rnacentral:rRNA from 1 species